GAAGGUGAGGGACGUUUUUACUGGAUAGCAGUACUGUCUGGGUUUAGAGACUCCACAGAAGACCCGAGUGACGGACGGGAGUCGAGUUGGACCUUCCGGUCGGGAAUCACGCUUUUUUGAAGGCAAUUGGUUGGAGUCGAAAUCGCAGACGCAAGAUAAGCAAGACUCCACAGAAGACCCGAGUGACGGAGGGGAGUCGAGUUGGACCUUCCGGUCGGGAAUCACGCUUUUUUGAAGGCAAUUGGUUGGAGUCGAAAUCGCAGACGCAAGAUAAGCACACAUGAGGCUGACGGAACGCUUGGAACAACUGAUCGCAGAUUCACAAGGGAAAUGAGAUAUCCAGCAAUUUACUACAUAGCAACCGUUUACUAUCCUGUACUUGCAGUGCUUGGCAUCCCCGUUAACUUAACGGCGAUUCUGAUCCUGUCCCGUGGAAACUGUGGACUUUCCAGAUGUAUCACUCGCUAUCUAACUGGAAUGGCUGUGGCCGAUUUAACAGUGGUUAUCAUUGCCAUUCUCGUGGAACAGAUAAAUAAUCUCUAUUUUUACGCCGGUUUUUUGCUCAUAACUCCGGUUUGUGCUUUAACGCUUGUCUUUAAAAUUGUAAGCAAGGACUGUUCCGUUUGGCUCACCGUUGCUUUCACGUUCGAUCGUUACGUUGCAAUUUGCUGUAAAAAUCUGCAGAAAAAAUAUUGUU